rnacentral:lncRNA from 1 species
AUAUUGUGUUCCUGGAGAUUGUGUCCGAUUCCUGAAACGGCAAAUCACAGGAGAUGUAGAAACUGGGAUACUUGGUUUACUUGAAAUACCACAUGCAGUUUCUUUUUUUUUUCUGCCGUUCGUGAAAUUGGUAAAUUCGGCUUCUUCGGCUUCUUGAUGACCGCCCUCAGGACGACGCCCUUGGCGAACGGCUUUCCAUCGAGUGGCUUCCUUUUUAUAUUGACCUUUUUAUGGGGACCCCUUAGAUGCAUCUGCAACAACGUCGAUCCGUUUCUCACCUGCUGCAGACCUGCGGUACAGGAAAGGCAAAUUAAAAGUGCCGGGGUUCCGGAGAUUUCGAAAACGGCGCUCUCACCUCGAAGUCCUGCGACCUCCGAUUGGUGUCAACUUCGAAGACUUAUAGAUUCCGAUCUUUGCGUCGACGUAAUCGAUCAAAGCUGGACGACGUUCUAACCGUUAAAGAAAAUUCCAGGAUUCCUCGAGAUUUCCUGCGAGCAGGUUGCGCGACAAGGAACGCAAAUUGGGGAUGGUCGAAGGGGAGGAAAAGCCAUUGUGAGGGGAAAGGACGAAAAACGCGGAGCAGGGACUUUGGUAACGGUACCGGGAAGCCGAGAACUCUUUCGCAAAUAAUAAUCUUGCGGCCCUCGACAAAAAGGACACCCAGCGUGGACCCUGGGACGAGGAUAUCAAAUAUGACGAGCGCUUGACAUCUGCAAGCCGCUCAGAGUCCUUUCCUGGUCGAGCGUGCAUAAGCUUAUUAAGCAACAUUGUCGUAAGGGAAGGUCCUGCGGAGAGUGGCCAGGCUGGACAACGUCUCGGGAUGGACGAGUCUCUUCUUUUUAGAAUCCUGGACAGUGGGCUCCCCUCGAGGGUUACCUGUCGACUUCCUGGUGACAAAGGAAUUUCAUCGCCGCGAAGGAACUCGCCCUGAAAGCGGGAUUCCUUCUAAAGCAAGUCACCGGUCUCGUUAGUUAAUAACAGAUGACAUUUUUUGUUUUUAAAUUAUAAUGUAUUUCCAACAAACUGUAAGGAUAAUACCUAAAGCUCCUUCGUGGGAUUUUUUUCAUUUAUGUUACGCUGCGACUCGCGAUGCUCGCUUAGAAAAUUAAGGAAAUUAGUUAACGUGGAACGCGUGGAAAGCUUUUCCUGCAAUAUGGCGCGUCCGAAAACCGGCAAUUCCGGGGAGGACUGUACCAUUGUUGUUCAUUUCGAGAUCUAGCUGACCACCGUCCGUCAAUGCGACAGAUGUCCAAAACCUGGCGCGUCGCUAAUCCGACCUAACUUGGACUUAACUGAGCCAAGAGACCAGCAGAACCCAUUAUAUGCGGGAAAGCCAACCCUUUUCGUAAGAUCAAUGCGCAAGAUUACAUUGCGAAAAGUUUUCGACAUCGCGUUGCGCCUUUGUCGCACUUCCCGCAAGCCUCCAGGGCGCGGGAAAUGAUUGUUGGAACAGCCGUGGUUUUUAAAUAAAAAGGGAACCCAGGAAAUCCCCAAGGAAUCUUCGUACAUCCAUUGUAUAACUUCGCCGCAACUUCCCCCAAUGUUAAGCGAAGAGGU